CUUGUAAAAAUGCAAGCUUCUCUGCCCUGUGCUAAAACUAUGGAGCACAAGACCCUGGCAAAUGUUGAAGAACAGUGCGAGUGUCUGAUUAAAUCCACGAUCCAGCUGGAGGCCAGAGUCAAGGAGCUGUCUGAGCGGUGAAGAAAGAAGAGGAGAUAAAUUGUGAGCUGCCUGCCAGGGGGUGGAAACUCGAAGAUGAACGUUCCGGGGUAAAGAAAGAAAUCGAUGACCUGGAAACAAUAUUGGCAAAGUCGGAGAAGGAGAGGCAUGUUACAGAGCACAAGAUAUCUUAUGAGACUUUGGACUACAAAAGAGAGAAGUUGGCACUAUUAUUCUCAGCCCAUCCAUGGUGUAUGCUUCUCACAAGCCAAGAAUCUGACUGAGGAGGUGGGAUCUCUAAACUUAACAAACUUAACAGAGCAACCAAGACUGCACGGGAGGUCCAUCAGCAGAUGCUGGACUACCUGCACGUGGAAGAGGGGAAAGUUCACAACCUGAGCAAAGCACAUCUAAAAGUGGGGCAGCAAGUCAGCGAGGAAGAAGCUGGCCGUUCGGUUGCAGGGAGCUGCUGAAGCCAUGGGGGUGGCCAGUGCCAGAAAUGCCUCCCUGGAGAGGGCCAGACACCGACUGCAGCUCGAGCUCGGGGACGCCCUGUCUGACCUGGGGAGGGCCCGCUCUGCAGCAGCCCUGAGGGACCAGAAGCUGUGGCGCUCAGACAAGGCCCUCGCCGACUGGAAGCAGCAGCAGGAGGAGUGCCAGGCCUUGCUGGGUGCCUCUCAGAAGGAUGCCUGUGCUCUCAGCACCGAGCUGCUCGAGCUCAGACAUGCCUAUGAGGACAGCACCAUGGGCCAGGAGACACUCAGGAGGGAGAACAAGAUCCUCCAAGAAGAGGUUUCUAAUCUGACAAACCAGCUUAGAGGAGGAACCAAGAAGUUAACUGAAGUGGAAAAGGUCAAGAAACUGAUUGAAUGAGAAAAGACCGAAGUCCAGGAGACACGGGAAGAAGCAGAGGGAACUCUGGAGCAGAAUGAAAGCAAGAUUCUUCUCUUCCAUCUUGAACUUUGGGAAGCUAAAGCAGAAUUUGAAAGCUUGUGGAGAAAAAUACAGAAAUAGAAAAUGUUAAGGACUGACUGCGGUGAGGGAUUCUGAUCUACUUAAGAGGCUCUGAGUCAGUGUCUCAAAGAAUUUUUCUGAUGAAGGAAAAAAAUCACUGUACCUUGAUAUUUGCCCUACUUCAUUCCAUGGAGAACAAAAAAUGAACAUGUCCUUGUGCAGUUUUCAAAAACCUGAUUUCAGGAGGAAACAGCAGUGUGCUAUUGACUCCCUGCAGUCAAGUCUGGAUUCUGAGGUUAGGGGCAGAACCGAGGCUACCUGGCUGAAGAAGAUGGAAGUGGAAGUCAGUUGGAGCUCCAGGUUCAUGGUGCCAGCUGCAAUAGCCUGGAAGGGUGAUUUUUAUUCCCCAACACCCUGCUCCCCAGAUGGCUGCAGCUGAUGCUGACUUCUGCUCCGGGACUCUUGUUUCAACAUCCACCAAAAAGAGAAGGUAGGGCCGAUGUCGCGGCACAGCAGAUAAGGCUACCGCUUACAAUGCCAGUGUCCCAUGUGGGGGCCAGUUAGAGUAGCUGCCCCACUUCUGAUCCAGCUCCCCACUGAUGGCCUGGGAAAAGCAGCAGAAGAGGGCCCAAGUACCCUGGUGGGAGACCUGGAAGAAGCUCUUGGCUCUUGGCUUCCACUUGGCCCCAGUGCUGGCUGAUGCAGCCAUCUGGGAAGUGAA